AAAUUAGUUUUUCUAAAUAUCUAUUCAAUUUUUUUUGCUUAAUCAAGCUCCGCACGUUGGCUUCUCCAUAACUUAUUAAUAACACUUUUUCUCAAACAAUACAUUACUUUUUCAUCUCUUUUCUUGUGUAUUUUUUUGGGUUAGUUCAUCUAUAAUAUUUGCAAACUCUAUGUUAUAUCAAGUUAUAUUUAUGAAUAAUUCUUAAUAAGAUUGGAAAUUUUAUUUUUGGCGAGGAGUAGGUGCUAAAGCCAUAAGAUUGGAAAUUUGAAAUUAGCACCA
rnacentral:lncRNA from 1 species